GCCUGCGUGGCUCAGUCGGUUGGGCGACUGACUUCGGCUCGGGUCACGAUCUCAAGGUUCGUGGGUUCAAGCCCCGCCUCGGGCU
rfam:Felis catus isolate Cinnamon breed Abyssinian chromosome C1, whole genome shotgun sequence.